rnacentral:rRNA from 1 species
GCUCAAAUUUGAAAUCUGGCGUCGUCAGGGCGUCCGAGUUGUAAUCUAUACAGUCGUUUUCCGUGCCGGACCGUGUCAAGUUCCUUGGAACAGGAUAUCAAAGGGGUGACAAUCCCGUACUUGACACGACGCCAGGUGCUCUGUGAUACGUCUUCUACCAAUCUAGUUGUUGGCAAUGCAGCUCAAAAUGGGUGGUGAGUUCCAUCUAAAGCUAAAUAUUGGCGACAGACCGAUAGCAAACCAGUACCGUGAGGAAAAGAUGAAAUUUACUUUGAAAAUAAAGUUAUACAUUACGUGAAAUUGUUGAAAGGGAAACGAUUGAAAUCUGCCUUGUCUGAGUGGCUCAUCCGGUUCUGCCGGUGUAUUCCUCUCCCACAGGGCGACCUCAGUUUUGUUCGGUGGAUUAGGGUGGCGCGAAGGUACCACCCCCGGCUGAGUUAUACCCCGCUGUCACGAUGAUCGCUCGAUACUGCCGAAUGCCCCUCCUCUUAUGGCCAGGGUUCGCCCACGUUCGAGCUUAGGAUGUUGACGUAAUGGCUUUAAACGACCC